AGGGAACCCCGUGAGAAUCGGGGACUGACGCGCAGCGGUAACGCAGACGGGCGAGUAGCAAGCCACUGGGAACAACCCGGGAAGCGCUCGUUCGGAUGAUGCCAAGUCCGAAAACCU
rnacentral:ncRNA from 2 species